rnacentral:rRNA from 1 species
GCCGCACGCUGGCGGCGUGCUUAACACAUGCAAGUCGAACGAAGUGGCGAACGGGUGAGUAAUACGUGAGUAACAUGCCCUCAUUUUUGGGAUAAGCCUUGGAAACGGGGUCUACUACCGAAUAAAGGGGGAUGGGCUCGCGUCCUAUCCGCUUGUUGGUGGGGUGAUGGCCUACUAAGGCGGUGACGGGUAGCCUGCCUGAGAGAGUGACCUGCCAAAUUGGGACUGGGUGACGGCCAAGACUCCUACGGGAGGCAGCAGUGGUGUAUAUUGUGCAAGGGGCGAAAGCCGGAUUGGGGGAGGUCGGGUGGGGGAUUAAGGCUUUCGGGUGUUAAACCUCGUUCUGUAGGGAACGGGUAAGUGGAGAAGAAGCGCCGGCUAACUACGUGGCAGCAGCCGCGGUAAGUC